rnacentral:rRNA from 1 species
AUUGAACGCUGGCGGCAUGCUUUACACAUGCAAGUCGAACGGUAACAGGCCGCAAGGUGCUGACGAGUGGCGAACGGGUGAGUAAUGCAUCGGAACGUGCCCAGUCGUGGGGGAUAACGCAGCGAAAGCUGCGCUAAUACCGCAUACGAUCUAUGGAUGAAAGCGGGGGACCGUAAGGCCUCGCGCGAUUGGAGCGGCCGAUGUCAGAUUAGGUAGUUGGUGAGGUAAAGGCUCACCAAGCAAACGAUCUGUAGCUGGUCUGAGAGGACGACCAGCCACACUGGGACUGAGACACGGCCCAGACUCCUACGGGAGGCAGCAGUGGGGAAUUUUGGACAAUGGGCGCAAGCCUGAUCCAGCAAUGCCGCAUGCAGGAAGAAGGCAUUCGGGUUGUAAACUGCUUUUGUACGGAACGAAACGGUCCGGGUUAAUACCCUGGGCUAAUGACGGUACCGUAAGAAUAAGCACCGGCUAACUACGUGCCAGCAGCCGCCGUAA